GAUCCUGGCUCAGGAUGAACGCUAGCUACAGGCUUAACACAUGCAAGUCGUGGGGCAGCAUGGGAGAUGCUUGCAUUUCCCGAUGGCGACCGGCGCACGGGUGAGUAACGCGUAUCCAACCUGCCCUUCACUCCGGCACAGCCCGUCGAAAGACGGAUUAAUGCGGGAUGCAGUCAGAAAGAUGCAUAUUAAUUUGACGAAAGGCCUUCGGGCCGGUGAGGGAGUGGGGAUGCG
rnacentral:rRNA from 1 species